UGCCUGGAGAAUCCUAUGGACGGAGAAGCCUAGUAGGCUGCAGUCCAUGGGGUCGCACAGAGUCGGACACGACUGAAGCGACUUAGCAGCAGCAUUGAAUACUGUUCCAGGCUUUACGCGUUGAGUAGUGAGACUCUGAUGGUGCUUACUGUGCUAAGGAAUGUGUCCUGUAUUAGCGCAUCUCACCCUCACAGUAGCUAUAUAAGGUAGGUACUAUUACUGUCGUGCAAAUGAGGAAACGGGGGCUCAGAGAGGUUAAGUAACGUGCCCAAAGUCACACAGCUAGUUUAGUGGUAGAGCCCAGACGCGCCCCUCCCCCCACAUGGUUUGAGUGGUCUGAACCAAGUCUCAGUGUCUGUAACCACUGUUCAUCCACAGCUCGGGACAUGGAACAUACACAGACAACGGUAACUAGAAUUGUUGAUGUUGCUUCCAUUUGACUGAUACUUGGAGAAACUUUGACUCACUGCCCUGUGAAAAUGACCAGGCGACUAAAAAAAGCCUCAGUAAAGAAAUCUCCCUGGUUCCUGGCCAGAAUUCCUUAGACCAGUGUUUGAGAAUUCACAACUGUCUAAGGCAAAGGCUGAUUCCCUAUGGUUGAGUCAUGGCUUCCAGUCAUAACAUCUCUCUGUAUCAGCUGGGUGACCUCGGAAAAAGCUUUGGUGUCGGUGACUAAAGACUCAAUGAGCAGAUCGCAGGUCAGCUCUGCCCCAGACCAGCCGGGAGACGUUGGGCCUGCCUGAGGGAGGCGUUGGCUGAGUUCCCUUACGUGGCUCCAGGAUGAGCAGUCUUCAGGAGAUGGGACCAAAGGAAAAUGGCAAGAAAACAAAUACAAGACGGUGCAGUGCUGGAGGGCAAUGUAUUGCCCAGGAGCAGGUGUCCACGUGAUCCCCAGAUAAUCAUCCGGCUAAAGGCCCCCAGACCUCCAGUCCUCGGGCCAGUACAACAGACGGUCUGUGGAUGCAGCUGCCUCUGUGAAGAAGGAGGACGUCACACUGGGGAUGUAAGCCCUGGGGGUGGGGGGUGGUGCCCUGGGGAACAGACCCAGAGAAGGGGAUCAGCCUGUAGGAGGUGGAGGUGGGGCUGCUGUCAGGGACACCCCCUGGAAGGAAGCGGGGGCAGCGGGGGCAGGCAGAGGGAGAAGCCGGGCUGGGACACGGCCACAGUAGAGGCCUCAGCUGGUCUUCCAGGGGUGCUCUGCGACCGGGUGGCCUUGCAGAGUGCUCCCCCAUGGCAGGUCCAACAGGAAGCCUCAGCCGGGAGCAGUCAGCAGUUCUGACAGUUGAAGGGAGGUUUCUUUUUUUCUUUUUUCUUUUUUUUUGGAAGCUAAUUACAAUAUUGUGGUGGUUUUUGCCAUACAUUGACAGGAAUCAGCCACAGUUGUACAUGUGUCCCCCAUCCCGAACCCCCCUCCACCUCCUUCCCCAUCCCACCCUUCUGCGUUUUCCCAGUGCACCCGGUACACCCUGUUUCAUGCAUCAAACUUGGACUGGUGACCUAUUUCACAUAUGGUAAUAUACAUGUUUCAGUGCUCUUCUCUCAAA